CAGUGGCCUAGUGGUUAGAGCAUUUGCCUCAUAUGCAGGAGGCUGCAUGUUCGAACCCUGGUCAGAUCAUACGA